rnacentral:rRNA from 1 species
UACGAAGGGGGCUAGCGUUGCUCGGAAUGACUGGGCGUAAAGGGCGUGUAGGCGGGAAGGUAAGUCGGGCGUGAAAUCCCCAAGCUCAACUUGGGAACUGCACUCGAAACUACCUUUCUUGAGUGUCGGAGAGGAAAGCGGAAUUCCUGGUGUAGAGGUGAAAUUCGUAGAUAUCAGGAGGAACACCAGUGGCGAAGGCGGCUUUCUGGACGAUAACUGACGCUGAGACGCGAAAGCGUGGGGAGCAAACAGG